GACCUUUUAGUUUAUAUUAAAAUGUGACUUUGAAGAAGUCAAGAAUUUUUAGGAGGUGUU
rnacentral:tRNA from 1 species